rnacentral:snRNA from 1 species
AUACCUUUCUCGGCCUUUUGGCUAAGAUCAAGUGUAGUAUCUGUUCUUAUCAGUUUAAUAUCUGAUAUGUGAGCCAUGCGCUCACUACGAUAUUAAAUUUAUUUUUUAUGGGGGAGGGCCCACCACAUUGGCUUGCCACUGGGGCCCUCGAGCGUCGCCCAGGCGUCGCACUAUUGCUCGGGCCUGGCGCACCCCAA